rnacentral:lncRNA from 1 species
GGGAUGGGCUAAAGCUAAUACUUACCCCUGCAAGUCUAAUACUCUGCCUGUCAAUCUUAAAAUAUAUCUCUUAAGCUGCUCAAUACGUACCGACUGAGCAGUGAGCAUCUGAAAAAUAGUAGAAAUGUGAGGGAUCAGAGUUUGGUCUGAGUCAUCCUGAGAUGUCGAUCUCUGUGCAAAGACUGAAGUAGCAAACUGCUAAGAU